rnacentral:rRNA from 1 species
CGUAGGGACCAAGCGUUGUUCGGAUUUACUGGGGCGUAAAAGGGCGCGUAGGCGGCGUGGUAAGUCACUUGUGAAAUACUCUGAGCUUAACUCAGAACGGCCAAGUGAUACUGCUGUGCUAGAGUGCAGAAGGGGCGAAUCGGAAUUCUUGGUGUAGCGGUGAAAUGCGUAGAUAUCAAGAGGAACACCUGAGGUGAAGACGGGUUGCUGGGCUGACACUGACGCUGAGGCGCGAAAGCCAGGGGAGCAAACGGGAUU